GGAUCAUAUUGUGUGAUACAUCUUCAUAUCUAGAUGAUACUGACGACCCUGGAAGACAUCAAUUUUCUGUAAGCUACAUGAUCACAAAAUUCAUAUGUUCAUCAUCUUGAUUUUUUACUCCCUCCUAAUGCGACUAUAACAGGGGUAUAUUAAUAUCCAAAUGAUUAUUGUUGAUUGUCAAUUAAGUAUGACUCACUUCAUAAGGUCUCAAUUUCCUUCUUUUCAUUACAAUUGGUUCUUGUAAAAGCCUGCUUGAAGUGGUUCUCCUGUAUCUUGAAUCUAACAUUGGUAUGAUAGAGAGAUUGAAUUUUCUUAUGUUGGCUAAACUGAGCAAGUAUACUUUUGUUUGUUCUGUUGAAUGGAGGACACAUCUCUCGACUGAGAUAAAAUCUCACUUGUGCUUUCCAGGAAAAUAGCGAAUGGAAUGAUUGGCAAACUACUGUUUUACAGGAGCGUAAUAUUGUGGAAAAUGUCUACAGAUGCGCUUGAGGGCGCCCAACUGCAUUGCAAGAUAGGACAAGGGAUAGUGAUGAGGAUGAUCUUCAUGACAGAGAUUUUGAUGUAGCAGCUUUAGCAAAUAAUCUUAGCCAAGCAUUUAGAUACUCGAUAUAUGAUAAUGAGGAUGCUGAGGAGGGCAAUGGGGCUCUUGAUCGAGUUGAUGAGUCAUGAAGAACUUUCUUAUAUUGAAGAGUUAUAGUGAACAAUAGGAACUGAAGGAAUGAAUUGAGUGGUUGCGAAGUGUUUUCAUUGUAAUUCAGUGAGCUCAAGAAUCUCUGUGGUUCUUUCUUGAAUAAUGGGUUCAAGAAUUCAGAUCUGUUUGCUGGUUGUUUCUGUCCAAAUUUUACUUGUAGCAGCACAAACGAAUAAU